rnacentral:rRNA from 1 species
GUGAACGCUGGCGGUAGGCCUAACCCAUGCAAGUCGCACGGCAGCACAGUAAGAGCUUGCUCUUACGGGUGGCGAGUGGCGGACGGGUGAGGAAUACAUCGGAAUCUACUUUUUCGUGGGGGAUAACGUAGGGAAACUUACGCUAAUACCGCAUACGACCUACGGGUGAAAGCAGGGGAUCUUCGGACCUUGCGCGAUUGAAUGAGCCGAUGUCGGAUUAGCUAGUUGGCGGGGUAAAGGCCCACCAAGGCGACGAUCCGUAGCUGGUCUGAGAGGAUGAUCAGCCACACUGGAACUGAGACACGGUCCAGACUCCUACGGGAGGCAGCAGUGGGGAAUAUUGGGCAAUGGGCGCAAGCCUGAUCCAGCCAUACCGCGUGGGUGAAGAAGGCCUUCGGGUUGUAAAGCCCUUUUGUUGGGAAAGAAAAGCAGCAGGUUAAUACCCCGCUGUUCUGACGGUACCCAAAGAAUAAGCACCGGCUAACUUCGUG